rnacentral:rRNA from 1 species
GUCCUUUUGAUUUUAUUUAAGGUCUAACCUGCCCAAUGAAUAUAUUUUUAAAUGGCCGCAGUAUUUUGACUGUGCAAAGGUAGCAUAAUCAUUAGUUUUUUAAUUGAAAGCUGGAAUGAAAGGUUGAAUGAGAAAGAUACUGUCUCUUAAAAAUUUAAUUAGAACUUUAUUUUUAAGUUAAAAAGCUUAAAUAUAAUUUAAAGACGAGAAGACCCUUUAGAGUUUUAUAUAAUUUAGAAAUUAUAAAUUUUGGAAUUUAAACCUAGAAUUUUUAUAUUAUAUUUGAUUGGGGUGAUUGAAAAAUUUAAUUAACUUUUUUUUUUAUAUUACAUUAAUAUAUGAAUAUUUGAUCCAUUUAUUUUGAUUAUAAGAUUAAAUUACCUAAGGGAUAACAGCGUUAUUUUUUUUGAGAGUUCAUAUCGAAAGAAAAGAUUGCGACCUCGAUGUUGGAUUAAAAUUAAAUUAUGGUGUAGAAACUAUAACUUUAGGUCUGUCCGACCUUUAAAAUUUUACA